rnacentral:lncRNA from 1 species
UUAUUUCCUAAUUAUGCAUUCAUCAUAUCAGAUCAGAUCAAAAUUUCAUGUCCAGAACAAAUUCAUUUUUCUCUCGAUAUAUAUAAAAUUUCAAAUCCAAAAUACCAUGAAGAAUGGACAGUCCCGUCCGUCCAAGGCACCACAGAUAAAUCCACGAACAAGUUCAGUGGGAUAAAAUUUUCAACAAAUAUUUGAAAAGAGUUGCAUAUAUCGAGAGAAAAAUGAAUUUGUUCUGAACAGUUACUACUGGUGCUGCGAUUUGCAGUUAGUAUGGUCCUCGCCAUGGAUUUGAUGGAAAAUGAUGAUCUGAGGCUGGUUGGCGAUUAUCAAAUCCAACUAAUUUACUUGAAGACGUUGCCAUGGCCGGUUUCAUCAACUGGGCAACAUUGCUGAGUCAGUAUCUUUUGUCCUCUUCUGUUCUUCUUCUUUUCUUAGUUAAUGAAAUUACUUUUGAGCUCUGUAUCACGGUGAUUAUGUAACCGUACCAAUUUGGGAAUUCUAUGUUUUUUACUGUCUAGAUGUUUUUUUCCUAAUUUUUUUGACAAAAAUAAUUUCUGAUAAUGGAUUGGGAUUAGAGGUGGUUUUAUUUCUGCAUAUGGGUUUGAUUAUGUAAAGUAUUUUAGUUUGUUUUAUAUAUCUAAAUACGGUCAAAU